rnacentral:tRNA from 3 species
GCUGAUGUGGCUCAGUUGGUAGAGCAGCGCACUCGUAAUGCGCAGGUCGCCGGUUCGAAUCCGGCCAUCAGCUCCA